GUAGCAAUACAUGGCGUACUGCUCAGUAACACGUGGACAACCUGCCCUUAGGACGGGUAUAAACCCGGGAAACUGGGUAUAAUUCCCGAUAGAUCUCGUCUGCUGGAAUGCAUCGAGAUCCAAAGCUCCGGCGCCUAAGGAUGGGUCUGCGGCCUAUCAGGUAGUAGUGGGUGUAGCGUACCUACUAGCCUACGACGGGUACGGGUUGUGAGAGCAAGAGCCCGGAGAUGGAUUCUGAGACACGAAUCCAGGCCCUACGGGGUGCAGCAGGCGCGAAAACUUUACAAUGCUGGGAACAGCGAUAAGGGAACCUCGAGUGCCAGGUUACAAAUCUGGCUGUCGUGAUGCCUAAAAAGCAUUAUAUAGCAAGGGCCGGGCAAGACCGGUGCCAGCCGCCGCGGUAACACCGGCGGCUCGAGUGGUAACCGUUAUUAUUGGGUCUAAAGGGUCUGUAGCCGGCCGGAUAAGUCUCUUGGGAAAUCUGGCAGCUCAACUGUCAGGCUUUCAGGGGAUACUGUCUGGCUCGAGGCCGGGGGAGGUGAGAGGUACUUCAGGGGUAGGGGUGAAAUCUUGUAAUCCUUGAAGGACCACCAGUGGCGAAGGCGUCUCACCAGAACGGACCUGACGGCAAGGGACGAAAGCUAGGGGCACGAACCGGAUUAGAUACCCGGGUAGCCCUAGCCGUAAACGAUACUCGCUAGGUGUCGGCCACGGUGCGACCGUUGUCGGUGCCGUAGGGAGGCCGUGAAGCGAGCCACCUGGGAAGUACGGCCGCAAGGCUGAAACUUAAAGGAAUUGGCGGGGGAGCACCACAACGGGUGGAGC
rnacentral:rRNA from 1 species